CGCGGUUAUGCGACCGACCCCGGAGAAGCUGGCGGGAGCCCCAGGGAGAGUUCUCUUUUCGUUGUGAAUGGCAGGGCGCCCUGGAAUGGGGUAGCCCCGAGAGAGGGGCCCAAGCCCUGGAAAGCGUUGCGGAGUCGGUGGUGUCCGGUGAGCUCUCCCUGGCCCUUGAAAAUACCAGGGUAGAG
rnacentral:ncRNA from 1 species